rnacentral:tRNA from 1 species
GGUUGUAGCUCAGUGGUAGAGUGCUUGCCUAGAAUGUGUGAGGCACUGGGUUCAAUCCCAGGCACCA